UGGCUCAGGAUGAACGCUAGCUACAGGCUUAACACAUGCAAGUCGAGGGGCAUCAGGAAGAAAGCUUGCUUUCUUUGCUGGCGACCGGCGCACGGGUGAAUAACACGUAUCCAACCUGCCCUUUACUCGGGGAUAGCCCUUCGAAAGAAAGAUUAAUACCCGAUAGCAUAAUGAUUCCGCAUGGUUUCAUUAUUAAAGGAUUCCGGUAAAGGAUGGGGAUGCGUUCCAUUAGGUUGUUGGUGAGGUAACGGCCCACCAAGCCUUCGAUGGAUAAGGGUUCUGAGAGGAAGGUCCCCCACAUUGGAACUGAGACACGGUCCAAACUCCUACGGGAGGCAGCAGUGAGGAAUAUUGGUCAAUGGGCGCUAGCCUGAACCAGCCAAGUAGCGUGAAGGAUGAAGGCUCUAUGGGUCGUAAACUUCUUUUAUAUAAGAAUAAAGUGCAGUAUGUAUACUGUUUUGUAUGUAUUAUAUGAAUAAGGAUCGGCUAACUCCGUGCCAGCAGCCGCGGUAAUACGGAGGAUCCGAGCGUUAUCCGGAUUUAUUGGGUUUAAAGGGAGCGUAGGUGGACUGGUAAGUCAGUUGUGAAAGUUUGCGGCUCAACCGUAAAAUUGCAGUUGAUACUGUCAGUCUUGAGUACAGUAGAGGUGGGCGGAAUUAGUGGUGUAGCGGUGAAAUGCUUAGAUAUCACGAAGAACUCCGAUUGCGAAGGCAGCUCACUGGACUGCAACUGACACUGAUGCUCGAAAGUGUGGGUAUCAAACAGGAUUAGAUACCCUGGUAGUCCACACAGUAAACGAUGAAUACUCGCUGUUUGCGAUAUACAGUAAGCGGCCAAGCGAAAGCAUUAAGUAUUCCACCUGGGGAGUACGCCGGCAACGGUGAAACUCAAAGGAAUUGACGGGGGCCCGCACAAGCGGAGGAACAUGUGGUUUAAUUCGAUGAUACGCGAGGAACCUUACCCGGGCUUAAAUUGCAGUGGAAUGAUGUGGAAACAUGUCAGUGAGCAAUCACCGCUGUGAAGGUGCUGCAUGGUUGUCGUCAGCUCGUGCCGUGAGGUGUCGGCUUAAGUGCCAUAACGAGCGCAACCCUUAUCUUUAGUUACUAACAGGUUAUGCUGAGGACUCUAGAGAGACUGCCGUCGUAAGAUGUGAGGAAGGUGGGGAUGACGUCAAAUCAGCACGGCCCUUACGUCCGGGGCUACACACGUGUUACAAUGGGGGGUACAGAAGGCAGCUAGCGGGUGACCGCAUGCUAAUCCCAAAAUCCUCUCUCAGUUCGGAUCGAAGUCUGCAACCCGACUUCGUGAAGCUGGAUUCGCUAGUAAUCGCGCAUCAGCCACGGCGCGGUGAAUACGUUCCCGGGCCUUGUACACACCGCCCGUCAAGCCAUGGGAGCCGGGGGUACCUGAAGUACGUAACCGCAAGGAUCGUCCUAGGGUA
rnacentral:rRNA from 1 species